GAUGAACGCUGGCGGCGUGCCUAAUACAUGCAAGUCGAGCGAACGGACGAGAAGCUUGCUUCUCUGAUGUUAGCGGCGGACGGGUGAGUAACACGUGGAUAACCUACCUAUAAGACUGGGAUAACUUCGGGAAACCGGAGCUAAUACCGGAUAAUAUUUUGAACCGCAUGGUUCAAAAGUGAAAGACGGUCUUGCUGUCACUUAUAGAUGGAUCCGCGCUGCAUUAGCUAGUUGGUAAGGUAACGGCUUACCAAGGCAACGAUGCAUAGCCGACCUGAGAGGGUGAUCGGCCACACUGGAACUGAGACACGGUCCAGACUCCUACGGGAGGCAGCAGUAGGGAAUCUUCCGCAAUGGGCGAAAGCCUGACGGAGCAACGCCGCGUGAGUGAUGAAGGUCUUCGGAUCGUAAAACUCUGUUAUUAGGGAAGAACAUAUAUGUGAGUAACUGUGCACAUCUUGACGGUACCUAAUCAGAAAGCCACGGCUAACUACGUGCCAGCAGCCGCGGUAAUACGUAGGUGGCAAGCGUUAUCCGGAAUUAUUGGGCGUAAAGCGCGCGUAGGCGGUUUUUUAAGUCUGAUGUGAAAGCCCACGGCUCAACCGUGGAGGGUCAUUGGAAACUGGAAAACUUGAGUGCAGAAGAGGAAAGUGGAAUUCCAUGUGUAGCGGUGAAAUGCGCAGAGAUAUGGAGGAACACCAGUGGCGAGGGCGACUUUCUGGUCUGUAACUGACGCUGAUGUGCGAAAGCGUGGGGAUCAAACAGGAUUAGAUACCCUGGUAGUCCACGCCGUAAACGAUGAGUGCUAAGUGUUAGGGGGUUUCCGCCCCUUAGUGCUGCAGCUAACGCAUUAAGCACUCCGCCUGGGGAGUACGACCGCAAGGUUGAAACUCAAAGGAAUUGACGGGGACCCGCACAAGCGGUGGAGCAUGUGGUUUAAUUCGAAGCAACGCGAAGAACCUUACCAAAUCUUGACAUCCUUUGACAACUCUAGAGAUAGAGCUUUCCCCUUCGGGGGACAAAGUGACAGGUGGUGCAUGGUUGUCGUCAGCUCGUGUCGUGAGAUGUUGGGUUAAGUCCCGCAACGAGCGCAACCCUUAAGCUUAGUUGCCAUCAUUAAGUUGGGCACUCUAAGUUGACUGCCGGUGACAAACCGGAGGAAGGUGGGGAUGACGUCAAAUCAUCAUGCCCCUUAUGAUUUGGGCUACACACGUGCUACAAUGGACAAUACAAAGGGCAGCGAAACCGCGAGGUCAAGCAAAUCCCAUAAAGUUGUUCUCAGUUCGGAUUGUAGUCUGCAACUCGACUACAUGAAGCUGGAAUCGCUAGUAAUCGUAGAUCAGCAUGCUACGGUGAAUACGUUCCCGGGUCU
rnacentral:rRNA from 1 species